rnacentral:rRNA from 1 species
GUUCGGUUAAGUCCGGCAACGAGCGCAACCCACGUCCUUAGUUGCCAUCAUUCAGUUGGGCACUCUAGGGAAACUGCCGAUGAUAAGUCGGAGGAAGGUGUGGAUGACGUCAAGUCCUCAUGGCCCUUACGGGUUGGGCUACACACGUGCUACAAUGGUAACUACAGAGGGCAGCGACUUAGCGAUAAGUAGCCAAUCCCAAAAAGUUAUCUCAGUUCGGAUUGCACUCUG